GUUUUAUUGCAAAAGCCAAAGCUUUAUUUUGAUACCCCCAAAGUAGAAGGCAAACACUCAAACAUGGAUGUGAGAUGAAAUCAUAAACAUGCAAAUAGCAAAACACACAGACACACAAAUUAAGUGACGUCGUUUUCUAUCAUCUGCAAUCACAUGCUUUCCUUUUCAGCACCGCUCUUUGCAGCAUCAUAAUCACGGCAGCACCAACAUAUCCCUUGACCACCACCAACAUUUAAGCAUUCGCCUCCAUGAUACUUGCUGUCCACUGCCCUGCAUGGUACAUCGCAAGUAGAGAUCGUGUCCGCGAGUCUACAUAAACCCUUUCGUAAGUCACACUUUCCCCAUCCAUUCACUUCUGUAUGAUCCAUACAAAGAGACAAUAUUUCAUAAACAUGUAUUUAUUUUAGAUCUUUGGAUCAAAAUAUUUUGGUCUUUUUUACGUACCUAUAGGAGAUAUGAGGAGGAUGGAGAGACAAACGACUAUUGCAAAUGUGCUCAGCUUUAAGCUCCCCAUUACUUGCUGAUCUCUUAGUUCUUCUUAGCUUCUUUCUUUUUUAGCAAUAGUUAGUUGGGAGAGAGCUUAACCAAACAUGCAAUUUUAUUGUAUUCUAUAUGUAAACUCGCACGCUAGCAACUGCGACCCGUAAUAUACGGUUAGCGACUUCGAUCAGAUUUUACUAUAUAUUGUUCGUUUUACUAUUGCUGUAACUGGUCGUCGUUUAGGUUGUUCGUUUUACUGUCGUGUGACUAGCUGUUACGACUUCAUUGACAUAUGUUUUCUUAAAUCAAAUUCUUAAAAUUUAUAUAUAGUUGUAAAUUGUAUAACUAAUUUCACUCCGAUCCGGUUCCCGAGAAGAUUUUCAAAUCUCAGAUCUGGAUGCAUGGAGGAGAUAUUUUAAAAAUAGUUGGAUUAUUAU